AAAGCUGUGCAAUAAAUUAUGGGUCACAUACGAGUCGGAACCACCUAUUGUGGUAUGUACGACAGGCUGGUACCAGACUUGGAUCAAAGGUGAGCGUGCGGUGCGGGAGGUGAACAAUCAUAUGAAAGAUGGCCUUAGCCUUGGGCGGGAGCACAAAUAUCGGGGUGCAGCCGUGAUGAGCUCUAAAUAAACGUUUGCAUACCAAUGCAAUAAAACACAUUCAAUCACAUAAUACUCACCUGAAGCUUACCUGAGUCUCCGCAUCAUCACACAAUACAAUCUACAAGUGUAACAAUGCAAUAUUUAAAAAGUAACUACUUGCCUCCGUAGGAUUAUUUGACAUAACCACAAAUCUCAUCAUAAUGCAAUAUCUAAAUAUAAGACAUUUAAAUCAUGGCACGCUAUGCACAAUCAAUUUAAAACAUUUAUGGAAAACCGCAAGGUAUAUAUGUGUAUAUAUAUGUAUAUAUAUACACACACACACACACUAUAAAAAGGAAAAUGACCUACUCACCUGAGAUCCACGCUACAACUCCCUAGCAUGAAUAUUAAGACGUCACGAAUGAUUGGCGCCUAGAACAAUUAUCAAUCACGUCGCAUAAUUCUUAUAAAUAGAACAUGUAACUUACAUAUCCUAUUCGGGAAGAUUCGUACGUUAGAUUCCCGAUCUGUAAGUUUCCAAUAUCCUCAAAUAUUAUGUACUAUAACAUAUCAAAGUUUGGUAAUGAUCCAACGGUUGAAUCGUCGAUUGCUAUAAUAAUCAAACGGCGAACCUUAAUGGAACUAGUUCAAACGAUGGAAAUUCAUCAAUCGAACUUUACGUAUAGAAUUUGAGAAUCAAAUUUAGCCUAGGGAGGUCAGGGGAUGUCUCGACCCACGCGUCGUCGUACACUAUGGUUGGUCGCCCUGACUCGCAGUGGUCAAGUCCAAUUUGGCCGGGAAAUGCCUCAAUUUCACUAAAACCCGUCAAAACCCUAGAAAUAGGUUAAUCUCGAUUAUUCCUCUCCGGUGCUCUGAUGUCCCAAAUCUUGUUUGGGUCUUAUUACUAGGCUCCAGAUGAGCUGGAGGAUGGUAGUGGUUGACGGAGGGGCUUGCAGAAACAACAGAUUUCGCCGCUGUGGCUCGGGACACCCACGAAGCAAGUUUGUCGGGAAACAGGGCUAAUUCCUCUCAAAUUUAGGUGGAAAACCGAAGAGGGAGUAAUGUAAUGAUGAUUGGUGAGGGUGGAUUCUUUCAAUUCAUCGGAAAUUUGACGAAUUUCGCCGAAAAAUCAACCGGGUUGAGCAGGGUUGUCGGGUCAAGGGGGAACUGGUUAGGUUCCCCUCCUUCUUCUCCUCCUUCCAUUCCCUCAUUUCUUUCUUCUCUAAUUGGUCACCCUCUCAUCUCUCAUUUUAUGAUUCCCUCACCUCUCCCUCCUUUCUCUUAUUUAACUAUCAUCUCCACCGCCUAUCUUUUCUUCCUUUUAAUCUUGGCCACACACAUGGCUUUCCAGAUUUUGCUUCAAAAAUCUGGAGCUUUCUAGAAAUUAGUUAAUUUACUAAAAUGCCCCCAACUUUAAACGUUAAUAUCUCAUUCAUUAUAACUCCAAAUUACAUUCUAUUUGUGCCACGCGUCCGUAGCGACAAGUACUACGAGGAUACGCCAAGAAAACGAACCUUACAUGACAUGACAAAAAGGUUAACAAAAGUCAACAUCUUUGCCUCGAAGAGCAUUUGGGGACGGGUUGUUACAAUUCCUCCCUGUCUCCACCUUUUUUUUUUUUUUUUU
rnacentral:lncRNA from 1 species